GCGGGCGUAGUUUAGUGGUAAAACCUCAGCCUUCCAAGCUGAUGAUGGGGGUUCGAUUCCGCCCGCCCGCU
rnacentral:tRNA from 1 species